UACAGAGGUCUCAAGCGUUGUUCGGAUUCAUUGGGCGUAAAGGGUGCGUAGGUGGCGUGGUAAGUCGGGUGUGAAAUUUCGGAGCUUAACUCCGAAACUGCAUUCGAAACUGCCGUGCUUGAGGACUGGAGAGGAGACUGGAAUUUACGGUGUAGCAGUGAAAUGCGUAGAUAUCGUAAGGAAGACCAGUGGCGAAGGCGGGUCUCUGGACAGUUCCUGACACUGAGGCACGAAGGCCAGGGGAGCAAACGGG
rnacentral:rRNA from 1 species